CCGAAAUUGAAGGAGAUCAAAAUAAAUGCCAAUUACAUAAAGUUUAAUGGAACAAACUUAAACGCAAUUAUGAAAUAUCACAACAAAGAGAAGAUCCAAGUGAUGAAUAACUGAAGAAGAUGUGUCCAAUGUUAGAAGGCAAGACAAAUAAAAAAGAGGUGCAAGGUUUUUAAUCCUUAUAUCCUUGCAAUAAGUUUAGCACCAUUAGGAAUGAACCGGCCGAUAAAUAUGUUAUAUUUUUUUAUUAUUAUUUAUGGAUUUCAAAUGUAAAAAUACAAGAUUACAAUAAUAAAUUUU